rnacentral:lncRNA from 1 species
GGUCUAAGUAUGUCAUUAAACCUUAGCCUGAUAGCAGGCUCAGUAGCAUUUUGAUAAGAGUUGGAGCCAGGGAAAUGUUAAAUUUAAAUCUGUUUAUUUCUCUUUGAUGUUCAUAAAAGAUGAACAAUGCAUAAAGCUUUGUUCUUUCUAGAACAGGAAGCGAGCAACAAACUCAAUUUCACCCGAGAGUAACCAAGAAAAAAGAAGGUGAACUCGUCUUUGAAGCCUAAGCACUGAUCAUAAAAUAUAUGAUAUUAUUGCAGCACAUGCUUCCUCCAGGUGCUUGGAGAAGGUCGCUAUAGCUGCAGUGUAAGGGACAUCCUGUUGCCUCUCAGUUAUUUCAGAUUGUACAAAACAAUUACUCCUAUUUAUAAUGUAUGGUAAGUUCAGCCACUGGAGUUUCCUGCCUGGCUGAUUCUAACCUAAUUUACUAGGAACGUUAGUCUUGUGAUUUACAGAGCUACCAGAUUCCUUGGGCAGGAUUCCCCCCUUGAAGAAAGCUUCUCAUCCACAGUAGGGCCUGGGCAGUUUUACUUGCCUGUGCUAGUUCCAGCCCAGGAUCCUGUAAGAAGAGAAGGGCAAGCAACAGAUAGGGUGAGACAGGUGAAGCAGCAUUCUUGACACAGCAAAUCACAUUUGUGUUGGGUGAAAGGUCUAACCCAGGUUUGCUCCUACCAGCCUCCUCUCUCUUGUUAUCUUACUUCUAGGUGCCUCCCUUGAAUGUAUGGGUUCUGGCCAGACCCAAAAUGAAAUUGUAGGGCUAUAUUUACAUCUUCUGAAAACUCCAUAUGGGAGAAUUCGUCAAAUGGUUUGCACUUUUAUAGCCCAAGUGUUUGUGUCUGCUCCUCUAGGGAGCCAAGGUGGAAUGUCUCCAUUCUGGGUGAGCCUGGGUGUAAGGUCACUCAUAGGCACGCAUUAUGACUGAUUUAAACGCCAUGCAAAAGCAGAGCGAGAUGCCAGAUUCCACAGUCUGCAAUUCCUUGGGAACUAGUUCUCCUAUUUGGUUACCUGGUGUGGUGUCAGCAUUGUGCUUUGAGGAUGCAAUGGUUCUGGAACAGCACCACUCAAAAGAACCUCAUCUCUGGAGUCAGAGGUACAGCAUCAGCUCAAGCUGUGGCUGCAUGUCCAACAGCUGGCAGGCUGGAUGGCCACAGUUCCAUCAGUACGCUCAGCAAGGUAGGCCUUGUGCAAACAGACAGCAUGCACUGACACAGCAGACAAGCAGGGGAAAAGCCAGUGCCUCUGUACCACUGGAUUCCCCAAGGCAAACACCUCAAUUUCACUCUGAGUCAUAUCUCCUUAUGCCAAUUUUGCUGACGUGCUGAGCCUUUCUCUCCCCAGAAUGCCCGCUCUGGCACAGAUCUUCAGCACAUUCCAGACUCUUUUGUAUUCUGUCUUUAAAAAAGCUUUAUGAGAAGGGGCACAACAACGUAUCUAGAUGCUUGGGAGCUGUGGCUGUGCAGGCUGCAAACUGAAUAGACCUCAGAAGAGCCAGACUCAUUGUGUGAUCUGACAAAUAAAAGUCACGGUCAUUAUCAAGGAAGAGCUGUGUGUGUACUUGAAACCCUUUCUUGGGGCUUCACAAAGACCACCACGAUGCACCACAGUGCUCAGCAGCUCUGUUGCGUCUCCAUACCACGAGCAUCCCCAGGAGGUGCUGGAAGACAGAGAGCUGAAAGCCUGAAAGUAUGGCAGGUCUCCUCCUCCUCUCCCUGAACUCACAGCCCAUGGUCUUGUCUCCCCCCAGGGAGAGGGAGAUGGUGACUGUGCUUUUGCCCUGCUGACGUCCAACAUCCCCUGGAUCUCCCGUAGGGAAGUUUACUCCGUGACAGCAACGUAGUCACACUGCUGCUUCAGGAAAAAAAAAAUCCACAAAUCUUUUUCAAGAAGCAGAAGGAUGAUAUGCUAAAAAGUAAAGCUUUGAGUAAGAUGUUCUUUCUAGGAGGCCCCUGAAGCAGGACAGGCAUGUAACCUUGUCACUCUUUCCUUUGACAGGGUUACUGUACAGAAAAUGAAUGGAGUGAAAGUGGAGAAGCAAUGCUCCAAACAAGAAAUCUGGUCUGAGAACACUUAGGCUUAAAGCAGUAUUUAAAUGCAUGGUUUCAGAAGAUGGUACUGGACAUAGAAAAGCUUGAGGAUGGUUCUUCCUCCUCCUUUUUUCCCAUUCAUUGGGGAUGAUGGCAACUGUAUUAACAGAGUGCUGACAGGAGUACACAGAUCUCUCUGCAUGUGGACACUUGCCUUAGAAAAGAAUUCCCUCACCUCAGUCGGUUGCAGAGCUGGAUUUGGUGACUGUGUAGGUCUUCAGGCACAGCAGUUACUUCUGCAGCUCUGUAGUGAUGUGGGUCUGUGGGGUUAUAGGAAAUGAAGAGCAGUGAAGCAUGUGAUAUAGAGACUCUCUCAUCAGUUAAAUCGGAAAGUGGUGAUCACAUUACUCUUCUUUAUAAUGAUCCUGAUCUCUGAGUGCCUUAGGAAAAAAGUCUAAAGAAUGGCACAUAGCUGGGUGUUGAGCCCAGCAAACAGUGGGAGUCACCUUGCUUUGGUUUUGUUUCAUUUCAGAGAGGAAAGAAUUGCAAAGAUAUACAGAGAGCACCAAGCUGCUGAUGCACUGACAUUCUAUUUUGUGAAGUGACAUAAAAUGAAGGGCUCCUCCCUAUCAACAGACCCUUAAAAGCCUUAUGAAUGGAAAUUUGUGUGACUCUUAACCCCUCAUGUUGUUACAAACAGUGACCCUAGAUAGUUUAAUGUGAAUUUUAAACAGCAGCUCCCUCUCUGCUCCAAUGGGAGGCUGCUUAUGGGAAAUAGGGAGGCAGGAGGCAGGCCCAUUCCCAUCAUUUGCUGCUGAUGGUGGUGGCAAGCAGCAGGGGCUGCUCCACUGAACCCUGGAAUGGGGUGUUCCAGAAAACUGGACCAGUCAUGUCAUAUUCCUCCUUUCCUCUGUGUUUCAUAAGGGGGAAUUUUCGUUUUCCUCUGGCAGAACUGUUCUUUAUAGAGCAACCAAUUGCCAAGUUUGGUUGAACAGCCUCAGAGAGCUGUGUGCACAAAUCCCCAGCCACAGAGAUGAACAGUGGACCAGCAGGGCUGAGCUUCAAAAGAAAUAAAGGUCUGAGGGUGUUGCUGCAGCAGAAAAAUAACAAAUGCAAUUAUUUAAGGAGAAAAGAUGAGUCCCGACAGUCAAUCUGAGCUCUGGCAGUGAGUCAGAAUCACCAGCCACUGGGGAGACAGGGAACCAUAUGACCAAAA